CCAUCGUGAUGAGGACAAUCUUCAAUGUAAUCUUGAAAUUUUUCCCAUGCUUCAGUGAAUGAUUUAUCAUGUUGUUGUUGAAAACUUAAAAUUUUUCCACGCAGAG
rnacentral:snoRNA from 1 species